rnacentral:lncRNA from 1 species
GGCCAGAAAUUCGCUUGACACCGCCGCGACGAGCAAGGCGCCGGAUAGCUGGCUUAGUGAUGCCCUGGAUGUUAUCGCGCAAAACCUUGCGAUGACGCUUAGCUCCUCCCUUACCCAAACCUUUUCCACCUUUACCACGGCCAGACAUGACUAAGCAACUUCUAAAACCAACUUAAGAAACCUAAACGCCAAGGCAAAGCAACGCCCUUAUAUGCCGGGAAUUCGGACCUAAUUGAAGACUGAAAGCGCGCAUACCGGAACUUUGGUCCUGCUUCUUGGCCCCACCCCGCAUAGCCCAGCCCUGGAUGACGUCACCAACGACUCCAGCCUUUGGCAUCUGAGCGCCGGCUCCGCGGAGGCGUCUCUUGCAAUUGCUGGGAAAUAGGAAUGAGAGUUUUAAGGCUGUUUUAACAACCAAAUCAGAUUAAAUAAAUUAACAUGUUUAAAUUGUUAUCAAUUGUUCCUUCAGUUGCUUUAGGACGAUUGGAGAGGAGCCUCGGUCCACAAGACCGGAAGCCUGAGGAGUGCAGCUUUGUCCCCAAGGUCACAGUGACUGGCUUUCUGCUGCCGGCUGUAAAGCACAUGCGGACCGAAACCCCCCUUCGGAAGUGUUUGAAAACUGCAAGAUUUCACCCUCUCCAUCACCAAGCCAAGGGAAACAUAACCAAAAGGGUUUUCUUCCCGAUGGCGAAGGCAUGAUAGGUUAGUGAUUCGUGGUAGAAUUAUUGCCCUCCGCGCGGAGGCCUGAUUCUAUUCCCAGUUUGUUCUCUUCUUUCCCUGCUUAUUAAAAUUUGUAAUUGCCAUUUAAAUAUCUAACUGCCCCUCACAACUGCACCCAGUGUGUAGGUUUCGGGGUGGGGGUUUUUUUUUUUCCUUUUUUUAA